UACGUAGGUGUCAAGCGUUGUCCGGAAUUACUGGGCGUAAAGCGCGUGUAGGCGGCUCGGCAAGUCGGAUGUGAAAGCCCUGGGCUCAACCCAGGAAGUGCACUCGAAACUGCCGAGCUGGAGUCCCGGAGAGGAAGGCGGAAUUCUCGGUGUAGAGGUGAAAUUCGUAGAUAUCGAGAGGAACACCUGUGGCGAAGGCGGCCUUCUGGACGGCGACUGACGCUGAGACGCGAAAGCGUGGGGAGCAAACAGG
rnacentral:rRNA from 1 species